CAGUAGCCGCGGGAAUACGAAGGGGGCUAGCGUUGUUCGGAUUUACUGGGCGUAAAGCGCACGUAGGCGGAUCGAUCAGUCAGGGGUGAAAUCCCAGAGCUCGACUCUGGAACUGCCUUUGAUACUGUCGAUCUGGAGUAUGGAAGAGGUGAGUGGAAUUCCGAGUGUAGAGGUGAAAUUCGUAGAUAUUCGGAGGAACACCAGUGGCGAAGGCGGCUCACUGGUCCAUUACUGACGCUGAGGUGCGAAAGCGUGGGGAGCAAACAGGAUUAGAGACCCCAGUAGUCCCUGUCUCUUAUAC
rnacentral:rRNA from 1 species